UGAGUACGAGAUGCUACGGCAUCGAAGCAGUCUAUGACAUACUUCCAAGAAAAGCUUGCAAUGUCAUAAACAAAUAAUGCCUGUACCAUAACCGACACAGGUGGGUAGGUAGAGUAUACUAAGGGGCGCGAGAUAACUCUCUCUAAGGAACUCGGCAAAAUGACUCCGUAACUUCGGGAGAAGGAGUGCCUUAUUUUUAUAAGGUUGCAAUAACAAGAUCCAAGCAACUGUUUACCAAAAACACAGGUCUCCGCUAAGUCGUAAGACGAUGUAUGGGGGCUGACGCCUGCCCAGUGCCAGAAGGUUAAAGAAGUUGGUUAGCAUUAGCGAAGCUGAUAACUGAAGCCCUGGUGAACGGCGGCCGUAACCAUAACGGUCCUAAGGUAGCGAAAUUCCUUGUCGGGUAAGUUCCGACCCGCACGAAAGGCGUAAUGAUUUGGAUACUGUCUCGGAGAGGGGCUCGGUGAAAUAGACUUGUCUGUGAAGAUGCGGACUACCUGCACCUGGACAGAAAGACCCUAUGAAGCUUUACUGUAACUUGAGAUUGAAAUUGGACUUUAUCUGCGCAGUAUAGGUGGGAGACGUUGAAAAUAUUCUUGCGGGAAUAUUGGAGUCAUCAGUGAGAUACCACUCUUAUAAUGUUAGAUUUCUAACUUUGUAUCAUUAUCUGGUCAAAGAACAGUUUCAGGCGGGCAGUUUGACUGGGGCGGUCGCCUCCCAAACGGUAACGGAGGCGCACAAAGGUUUCCUCUGAACGUGUAGAAAUCGUAUCUAGAGUGUAAAGGCAUAAGGAAGCUUGACUGUGAGACCUACAAGUCGAGCAGGGACGAAAGUCGGUCUUAGUGAUCUGACGGUGCUGAGUGGAAAGGCCGUCACUCAACGGAUAAAAGUUACUCUAGAGAUAACAGGCUGAUCUCCCCCAAGAGUUCACAUCGACGGGGAGGUUUGGCACCUCGAUGUCGGCUCAUCGCAUCCUGGGGCGGUAGUACGUCCCAAGGGUUGGGCUGUUCGCCCAUGAAAGCGGUACGCGAGCUGGGUUCAGAACGUCGUGAGACAGUUCGGUCCAUAUCCGGUGUAGGCGUUAGAAUAUUGAGAGGAGCCUUCUUUAGUACGAGAGGACCGAGAAGGACAUACCUCUGGUGUACCAGUUAUCGUGCCAACGGUAAACGCUGGGUAGCCAUGUAUGGAGAGGAUAACCGCUGAAAGCAUCUAAGUGGGAAGCCCACCUCAAGAUAAGUA
rnacentral:rRNA from 1 species